UACAGAGGUCCCAAGCGUUGUUCGGAUUCACUGGGCGUAAAGGGUGCGUAGGCGGCCGGGUAAGUCUGAUGUGAAAUCCCGCAGCUCAACUGCGGAACUGCAUCGGAUACUCUCCGGCUAGAGGAAUGGAGGGGAGACUGGAAUUCUCGGUGUAGCAGUGAAAUGCGUAGAUAUCGAGAGGAACACCAGUGGCGAAGGCGGCUCUCUGGGACGGUACUGACGCUGAGACGCGAAAGCGUGGGGAGCGAACAGG
rnacentral:rRNA from 1 species